GUUCAGACUGAGCACCCAAAUGCUGGGAAGGCUCCACGCCUGGACUCUCCAGCUGUCAGAUGGAAUUAACACUACUCCUGUCAGCUCCCAAGGGUGCCCUGAGCACAGUGCGUGUAAAAUAGCCAAAUGGUACUGUGAAGAGCACCAGAGGAAAACCUGAAGGAGAAUAAUCUUGAGUUGUUUUGUUGUGCCUGAAGCUAAAUCCUGGAAAAUGAGGAGAAGGCAAAACAGCCAUGGUCAGCUCAUUAAGCAGAGCGCUGCCCAUCAGAUGCAGCCUCCCUCAAGAAUCUUCCUGGGCCAUUUUUUCCUCUGUAAAUUCAGCCCAUGAACAUUCAGGUUUCAGUCCAGCUGGCAAUAAUGCUGGCACAUGAACAACUCUCAAUCCUCCUGAUGUGCCUGGAGUUGUCUGAAGGAAGGAAGUGUCGCUGUCUGAACAGGGAGAUAGAAGGGAGGAGAGGAAACAAUUUCCCCUGAAUGGACCAUAAGAAAAAGUGUGAUAAUGGCUGAUACUACUCAGUUCUGCAGGCAUCAAAACAACAUUUGGUGAUGGCUUUGUAAAAUUGUGUUUAUCAGUUUCAACCACAUUUGGCAGAAAACUAAAGGUCUCAGGGUUAAUUUACUUUCUCAAGAUGUAUGCAGCCAUGGCAUCUUUCCCAUAGCCCCAGUAAGGAAAGGACUGCUGUUAGUUCAGUAAGCAAUGGAGAAUUCAUCCUGGAAUUAGAAAUGUGUAUCUUGUACUUCCUAGCACACCAAAGACAAUCAGCCGCAAGACACUGACCUGCAGGGAGUCAGAUCAUUGGUUUCAGUGGUUGCUGAACUAUUUCUUUGGUUCACAGGGUGGGUGUUACUCAGAAAUCCUGAGCUAUCAGCAGAAACAAUGUGUUUUCAGUAUAUCUUGUGAAAUGUCUGACUGCUGGUUUAACUUUUAUUUUGAAGUAACAUUAUCUUCAUAAUACUUCUGCUUGAACAAUAUGCAUGUUCAAAGACUCCUUUCUCUCUAAGGAAAGAAAGCAAGUUGCUACCUACUUAGUCUCUACCUGAAGCUGUAAUGCUGGCUAUGUGAUCAGAAUUCUGUUUCAGAUAGUGAUAUACAGAGCUAAAAUGGUGAAAGGACUAAAAGCCAUGACUUGUGAGGAGCAGCUGAGGAUGCUGAAGUUUAUUGGUGUUCAAGAAGCAUGGACAACACUCUUAAAUACAUGGUGUAACUCCUAUUUUGCCCUGUGUGCAGGCAGGGGUUGAACUCCAUGAUCCUCACGAAUCCCUUCCAACUCAAGAUAUCCUGACUCUACAAUUAUAUUUCCAUGGAAUUCAGCAGUAGAAGUGUUAGGGAAAGAAAUGAGGAAUAAUGCAGGAUGUUAAGCAAAAUUGUUUCUAAGUAGGGUGGCUCUUUAACAGUCUCCAAAAGCUGGUAGAUGAACUUUAAAGGUUGUGUACGCUUCAGCAGGCAGAAGCUAUGCUUCAGCAAACCUGAGACUAAGUGACGAUAAUGUUAAAUGCAUAUUGCCCACUUCUGUAAAAAGAGCAGUGGGAAAAAAAAAGAAAAAGAAAAAAAAAAAAAACUCAAAAUCACGCUUGCCUAAGGAUUUAGGAAAAAAGGUGACUUGUGGGUGGAUGAGAUUUAAGCAUCAUAUAAAUAAGCUAAGUGUUCUGAGGCAACUAGAAUCUCUUUAAGAAAUAGAAUUGACACAGAGGAAUCAACGAUUAUAGCAAAGCUUACAGACACUCUUCUGGAAUAAGUAAUGAAAAAUAUUAUUUCCAACUUGGCAAUUGAGUACCAUAUGCACUCUUAAAGAUGCCAAAGGAACAGCAAUGCUAUAUGUCAUUGCUAAGCUAAUGUGACCUUGUGAUAUGUGUUUAUUUUUAGGGAAUUCUUGCCUGAAUGCUCAGGUAUUUUAGUGAAAAUUACUUGUGUAAUUUUCUAUUUUACCUCUCACAGAAAUUGCUUCAUGAUAGUUAAAAAUAAUUAAUUAAAGGUAAAAAAUGGAAGGUUUUUAAAGAUAUACUAAAUAUUACAGAAUUAGAUUUUAAUAACUGUUCAUUUAACCAUGUAUAAGCCUUAAUUGAUAUACAGUUUAUAAAAAUGUUCAUUGGUACAGCUUGCAGGAUUCUUGAAAAUGUCAAGCAAUUGUAGUUGUAGAUGAGGUUACUUUUCUUCUCAACAUUUUUCAAGAGAUGCUGCUUUAAUAUUUAUAUAAGCAGUUAGAAAAUAAAACCUUGGGUACUGAAAAAAUAUGCAUGUCAGUAGCUUCUGCUUCAAAUUGACAACCUGUACAUCUUUUCAACAAUCCUUAGAUGGUUUGUAGUUAGCUGGCCACAUUAAAGAUUUAAGCUCCUGAGGUUAGUGUUUUCUCUUUUCAAGGGAAGAUAGUUUACUAUGUCUUGUUCUCUUGCAGACUCUCAGUGCAUCUUUUGUCAUGACAAAUGAAGCUGAUGCAGUACUAAGGUUUCAGCUCUGCUGUCCAUCAUUUUGCUUUCUCAUAAACAGGAGCAAUUUACUUGGUGACCAGAAGCAUACAGUGUUCAGCUUUGUCAAAACAAAGAUGUGACAGACAAACAACUUUUAGUGUCUGGAGCAGUGUGUCCUAUCCUUGGUCAUGCUGAAUCAUGAAACUUUUUCCCUGCAUGUGUUUGUUCUAUGAUGACAGAGAAUAGCAAUGACUUUCAAGCUAAAAAAUUGAGUUAUCUUGUAUUCCAUCCCUGCAUUAAGAGAGAACUUUAACUUGCAUUUCAAGGUUCUAGCUCUUAGUUUUAACGGCAAACUGGUUCUGCCAAGAAAACAGACAACCUGAAUACUUGAGAAGUGAAAACAAGACUUGGCUUCCUGACUAAGAAUGUGAAUUCUAAAUACAUCAUCAUCACCUAGUAUGUACCGUGGAAACUUCACUGAACUCAGUGGGAUGACAGUGCCCUAACGUGGGAUUCCAAGUUUUUAAUUUUCAGCUGUAUGUGCCAGCCCUUGGAUUCACAGUCAACUGGGAAUAAAAACAAUAAAGACUGGGUGUUUCAUUUGCUAAGAUGAGAAGUUUAAGACAUCUGUGCUUGAACUCAUGCAAUCAGAGAACUUCUGUUUAAAUGCUGGCCCACUCCCCUAAACAAAAGCUAAUUCCUUUGUCUUCAGACAUACAAACUAGUCUUAAAAUGAAAAACUUUAGAAAAUGCCAAACCGAAAGAAAAAUUGGAAUAAAAUAGCAUGACAAUGAAGAAAAAAAGUAAAAGCAUCUUUCAGUUAAAAAUAGGUACCUGUGAUCUUGAGCAACACAAGGCUGGUGAAUAAUUUCGUCAUGAUGACACAAUUCAAUCAGUGUUAGUUUACAGUUCUAAAUUCUGCCUGAUAAGUAAAUUAACAUGCUAUCGAUAUCACUGACUCAUUCAUCUUCUGCUGAUUUGCCCUCGUGAGUUGCCUGACUCCCCACCUUGUACAUCUAAUUGUGGCAGUGGUGAUACUUGGUCACACAAUGGCUGAUGUACAAAAGACAACCAAUGGCAGCUUGGGCCCAAAGCCAGAGCCCUGAUUGCUCUUUUUGAUAUGCUACAACUUCUGUUGCUCCUUAAUUUGCCUCACUUCAGCGACUGUCAUUCUAGUACCUGCUCUUUAUAUGCCAUAAAAAUUGCCAGGACAGGCCUGAGAAUACUUCAGUUUCAUUGUCUCUGGCCCAGGCUUCUUCCCUGUUUAUGGAGCAAAUGGGAGUCUUUUACUUUCAAAACUUAGCUUUUAUGGCUCAUAUUGCUUUCUAAUCUUGAGGUUUUAUUUUGAAGCCAUAGUAUAUAGAGAAUGAAAAAUAAAAAUGGCAAAGGCAAACACUGCUCCAUUUCUGCUCUUGCUGUUUUAUUCAGAUUCUUCCCAGAUGCUCAUGUACCUCUGGCUCAGUUGAAGUCUAAAUUAAAAACAAGGAAUAUGAAGGAUGGAUCAGUGUCAGGUUCUUAAUUUGUACUUAUCGGGGUUCUUGAUGAAUCUUUUAAAUUGUAGACACUACUUAAUGUUCUCUUUUGAUGCACAUUAAAAAAAAAAAA